rnacentral:tRNA from 1 species
UGGCCCAUCGUCUAAUGGCAGGACAGCGGUUUUUGGAGCCGUCGGUCGGGGUUCGAAUCCCUGUGGGCCAGCCA